rnacentral:rRNA from 1 species
CCUACGGGAGGCAGCAGUGGGGAAUAUUGGACAAUGGGGGGAACCCUGAUCCAGCCAUGCCGCGUGUGUGAAGAAGGCCCUCGGGUUGUAAAGCACUUUCAGUGAGGAAGAACGCCUGGUGGUUAAUACCCAUCAGGAAAGACAUCACUCACAGAAGAAGCACCGGCUAACUCCGUGCCAGCAGCCGCGGUAAUACGGAGGGUGCGAGCGUUAAUCGGAAUUACUGGGCGUAAAGCGCGCGUAGGUGGCUUGAUAAGCCGGUUGUGAAAGCCCCGGGCUCAACCUGGGAACGGCAUCCGGAACUGUCAAGCUAGAGUGCAGGAGAGGAAGGUAGAAUUCCCGGUGUAGCGGUGAAAUGCGUAGAGAUCGGGAGGAAUACCAGUGGCGAAGGCGGACUUCUGGACUGAUACUGACACUGAGGUGCGAAAGCGUGGGUAGAAAACAGGAUUAGAUACCAGAGUAGUC